GGCGGUAGGCCUAACACAUGCAAGUCGAACGGCAGCACAGUAAGAGCUUGCUCUUAUGGGUGGCGAGUGGCGGACGGGUGAGGAAUACAUCGGAAUCUACCUUUUCGUGGGGGAUAACGUAGGGAAACUUACGCUAAUACCGCAUACGACCUUCGGGUGAAAGCAGGGGACCUUCGGGCCUUGCGCGGAUAGAUGAGCCGAUGUCGGAUUAGCUAGUUGGCGGGGUAAAGGCCCACCAAGGCGACGAUCCGUAGCUGGUCUGAGAGGAUGAUCAGCCACACUGGAACUGAGACACGGUCCAGACUCCUACGGGAGGCAGCAGUGGGGAAUAUUGGACAAUGGGCGCAAGCCUGAUCCAGCCAUACCGCGUGGGUGAAGAAGGCCUUCGGGUUGUAAAGCCCUUUUGUUGGGAAAGAAAAGCAAUCGAUUAAUACUCGGUUGUUCUGACGGUACCCAAAGAAUAAGCACCGGCUAACUUCGUGCCAGCAGCCGCGGUAAUACGA
rnacentral:rRNA from 1 species